rnacentral:ncRNA from 1 species
UUGAGUAACGCAAACAUUGGUGAGAAUCCAAUGCCUCGAAAACCUAAGGGUUCCUCCACAAGGUUUGUCCACAGAGGGUGAGUCAGGGCCUAAGAUCAGGCCAAAAGGCGUAGUCGAUGGACAACAGGUGAAUAUUCCUGUACUACCCCUUAUUGGUCCCGAGGGAUGGAGGAGGCUAGGUUAGCCGAAAGAUGGUUAUCGAUUCAAGGACGCACGGUGUCCCUGCUUUCUUAGGGUAAGAAGGGGUAGAGAAAAUGCCUCAUCCCAAUGUUCGAGUACUAGGCACUAGGCACUGAAGUAACCCAUGCCAUACUCCCAGGAAAAGCUCGAACGACCUUCAACAAAAGGGUACCUGUACCUGAAACCGACACAGGUAGGUACAUAGAGAAUACCUAGGGGCACGAGACAACUCUCUCUAAGGAACUCGGCAAAAUAGCUCCGUAACUUCGGGAGAAGGGGUGCCUCCUCACAAAGGAGGUCACAAUGACCAGGCCCGGGUGACUGUUUACCAAAAACACAGGUCUCCACAAAGUUGUAAGACCAUGUAUAGGGGCUGACACCUGCCCAAUGUCGGAAGGUCAAGGAAGUUGGUGACUUGAUGACAAAGGAGCCAGCGACCAAAGCCCCGGUGAACGGCGGCCGUAACUAUAACGGUUCUAAGGUAGCAACAUUCCUUAUUGGGUAAGUCCCGACCCGCACGAAAGGCGUAACGAUCUAGGCACUGUCUCGGAGAGAGGCUCGGUGAAAUA